GUGCCAGCCGCCGCGGUAAGACGUAGGGGGCGAGCGUUGUCCGGAUUUAUUGGGCGUAAAGGGCUCGUAGGCGGUUACGUAAGUCGGUCGUGAAAGUUCAGGGCUCAACCCUGAAAUGUCGAUCGAUACUGUUGUGACUAGGAUACGGUAGAGGUGAGUGGAAUUCCGAGUGUAGCGGUGAAAUGCGUAGAUAUUCGGAGGAACACCAAUUGCGAAGGCAGCUCACUGGGCCGCUAUCGACGCUGAGGAGCGAAAGCUAGGGGAGCAAACAGGAUUAGAUA
rnacentral:rRNA from 1 species